AUUGAACGCUGGCGGCAUGCCUUACACAUGCAAGUCGAACGGCAGCACGGGAGCAAUCCUGGUGGCGAGUGGCGAACGGGUGAGUAAUAUAUCGGAACGUGCCCAGUCGUGGGGAUAACGUAGCGAAAGCUACGCUAAUACCGCAUACGAUCUACGGAUGAAAGCGGGGGAUCGCAAGACCUCGCGCGAUUGGAGCGGCCGAUAUCAGAUUAGGUAGUUGGUGAGGUAAAGGCUCACCAAGCCGACGAUCUGUAGCUGGUCUGAGAGGACGACCAGCCACACUGGGACUGAGACACGGCCCAGACUCCUACGGAGGCAGCAGU
rnacentral:rRNA from 1 species